rnacentral:rRNA from 1 species
GACGAACGCUGGCGGCGUGCCUAAUACAUGCAAGUAGAACGCAGUUUCGAACGGGUGAGUAACGCGUAGGUAACAUGCCUCAUAGCGGGGGAUAACUAUUGGAAACGAUAGCUAAUACCGCAUACCGUGAGAAGGACCUGCGUUGUAUUGGCUAGUUGGGGAGGUAAAGGCUCACCAAGGCGACGAUACAUAGCCGACCUGAGAGGAUGAUCGACCGCACUGGGAAUGAGUCAAGGAUCAGAAUCGUACUGGAGGAAACGGUAGGGGAUCGUCGGAAAAGGACGGAUGUCUGACCGAGCAGCGCCGCGUGGUUGAAGAUGGUUUUCGGAUCGUAAAGCUCUGUUGUUAGAGAAGCGGGAACUAACCAGAAAGGGACGGCUAACUACGUGCCAGCAGCCGCGGUACUAC